UCCCUGGUGGCUUAGACGGUAAAGCGUCUGUCUACAAUGCAGGAGACCCAGGUUCAAUCCCUGGGUCGGGAA
rnacentral:tRNA from 1 species